UACGGGGGGGGCAAGCGUUGUUCGGAAUUACUGGGCGUAAAGGGCUCGUAGGCGGCCAACUAAGUCGGAUGUGAAAUCUCCAGGCUUAACCUGGGAACUGCAUCCGAUACUGGAUGGCUUGAAUCCGGGAGAGGGAUGCAGAAUUCCAGGUGUAGCGGUGAAAUGCGUAGAUAUCUGGAGGAAUACCGGUGGCGAAGGCGGCAUCCUGGACCGGCAUUGACGCUGAGUGAGCGAAAGCCAGGGGAGCAAACGGG
rnacentral:rRNA from 1 species